rnacentral:tRNA from 1 species
CCUGGAGUAGCUUAAUCAUAAAGCAUUGAUUUUGUAAUUCAAAGAAGGGAUUUCCCCUCCAGAU